rnacentral:rRNA from 1 species
UACGUAGGGUGCAAGCGUUGUCCGGAAUUAUUGGGCGUAAAGAGCUCGUAGGCGGCUUGUCGCGUCGGCUGUGAAAACCUGGGGCUCAACCCCGGGCCUGCAGCCGAUACGGGCAAGCUAGAAUUCGGUAGGGGAGACUGGAAUUCCCGGUGCAGCGGUGAAAUGCGCAGAUAUCGGGAAGAACACCCGUGGCGAAGGCGGUUCUCUGGGACGGUACUGACGCUGAGACGCGAAAGCGUGGGGAGCGAACAGG